rfam:Acidobacteria bacterium 13_2_20CM_58_27 13_2_20cm_scaffold_25, whole genome shotgun sequence.
UAGCAGGUGCGAAUCCUGCCCCGGAAAUUGGUCGAUUCAACCGGGUAACUGGCUCGACUUGGGACGAGGAAACGAAUCCCAAGCAAGCUCGAGCGACAAAGCCCUCGUCACGCAUCACUGCGUGGGAGCGACCAGGAGGGCAAGUGAACGGGAGGGUUGUAAUCGAA